CCUACGGGAGGCAGCAGUGAGGAAUAUUGGUCAAUGGACGCAAGUCUGAACCAGCCAUGCCGCGUGCAGGAAGACGGCUCUAUGAGUUGUAAACUUCUUUUGUACGGGGGUAAACGCAGAUACGCGUAUCUGUCUGAAAGUAUCCUACGAAUAAGGAUCGGCUAACUCCGUGCCAGCAGCCGCGGUAAUACGGAGGAUCCAAGCGUUAUCCGGAUUUAUUGGGGUUAAAGGGUGCGGAGGGGGUCGGAUAAGUUAGAGGUGAAAUCCCGGGGCUCAACAUCGGAAUUGCCUCUGAUACUGUACGGCUAGAGAGUAGUAGAGGUAGGCGGAAUGUAUGGUGUAGCGGUGAAAUGCUUAGAGAUCAUGCAGAACACCGAUUGCGAAGGCAGCUUACCGGGCUGCUACUGACGUUGAGGCACGAAAGCGUGGGGAGCAAACAGGAUUAGAUACCCCAGUAGUC
rnacentral:rRNA from 1 species